AUUUAUUUUUAUGAUCUUUAGUAAAUAAUACACUUUGUCAGAAAUGUUGUUUGAGUUUCAAAACUAGUAAAAGUGAUAGGAUAUUAAUUCCUUGACUGGAAGUUUUGUUAAUCCAGACUUUUGUAUUUUAGUUUGUAUAGAAGUUCUAGGUCCUGUUCAUGCCUCCAUCUCUGUCUCCAUUCAGUCCUCUUCCCUGUCACCUAAUGUGAGGGAAUUUUUUUUCUAUUUGAGUGAAGGGUUUCAGGAACCCAGAUUUAACUAUAUUUUUCAAAAAUUUAUUUUUCCUUACUUUUCACCAGGAGUAACUUCUGAUGUCUCUUAAGGUGGAAUCUUUAAAAAUGUAUACCCUUCAGUCUUUGCUUGAAAAGGAUGCAGACUUCACAUAUAUAAUCCCAAGAACAGGUUUAGGUAAAUGGUUUCUCUCUGAGUUUUCUUUGCCUACUCAGCAUAGAAUGCAAAGACCAUUAUCCCCAGGCUUAAGAUUUCCUUUUUUGAGUUUUCCUCACCUCAUGGAGAAGUUUCACUGAGAGUUUGCAUCUGGUGGCCACCAAGCCCUGGUGUAUCCUCUGGGUAGGUGAGCUCUGUCACUCACAUUACAGUACCUUCAAAACUAAGAGUUAUGUUCUUGUUUACUUUCAGUACUUCUUCCUCCUAAGAAUAGGAUAUUUCUCUGCACCUAGAUGCUUUUUAGAAAACAUCUUUCUGCUCCUGAAAUCGCUCCUUCAUAAAGUAAACUCUGAUUCACAAAAAAAUGUUGUCUUCUUCCUUGUAUUAGAAUUAGUGUUCUUUUUUACAGCCAGUAUUUUCCUUUAUUAAGGCAGUGAUGUUCUACCUUUUU